rnacentral:misc_RNA from 1 species
UCGCGGCUUAUCACCGGCAGUCUCCUUAGAGUGCUCAACUAAAUGGUAGCAACUAAGGACGGGGGUUGCGCUCGUUGCGGGACUUAACCCAACAUCUCACGACACGAGCUGACGACAACCAUGCACCACCUGUCACCGCUGUCCCCGAAGGGAAAAGCCUAUCUCUAGGCCGGUCAGCGGGAUGUCAAGACCUGGUAAGGUUCUUCGCGUUGCUUCGAAUUAAACCACAUGCUCCACCGCUUGUGCGGGCCCCCGUCAAUUCCUUUGAGUUUCAGUCUUGCGACCGUACUCCCCAGGCGGAGUGCUUAAUGCGUUAGCUGCAGCACUAAGGGGCGGAAACCCCCUAACACUUAGCACUCAUCGUUUACGGCGUGGACUAC